rnacentral:rRNA from 1 species
GAUCAUGGCUCAGGAUGAACGCUAGCUACAGGCUUAACACAUGCAAGUCGAGGGGCAGCAUGGUCUUAGCUUGCUAAGGCCGAUGGCGACCGGCGCACGGGUGAGUAACACGUAUCCAACCUGUCGUCUACUCUUGGACAGCCUUCUGAAAGGAAGAUUAAUACAAGAUGGCAUCAUGAGUCCGCAUGUUCACAUGAUUAAAGGUAUUCCGGUAGACGAUAGG